CCCGAGGCCAAUGCUCGUAUUUUUAGCUGAAAACGUGUGCACAAGUCGUUCUUCGCACCGCUAAGAAACAGCUGCUGGUCGGAUCGCCGGGAAAUGUUUCACAGAAAGUCGUGGUCCCCCAGAGGAUGCACCGCGCCGACUGUUGUAAUCCUGAGUUUCCCUCCACGGCCGACAUGAAGUGCAGCGCUAACAAUCGUGUUUCCCCUCAGGAUGAACCGUAAAACUGACAAAACGGCCGCAGGUGCAGUUGUGUGUUUUUAGUGCAAAUUAAUGCUAACAUGCUAACCGAGAUGAUGAGCGAGGUAUGAAACGUGUACCCGCUAAACAUUGUGAGUGUUAGCGUUCUGCCGUUAGCUUUUAGCUGUAGAGGAGUUCUGUUCCACGCUAUGAUACUCAAACGUUCCGGCCAGAGUGAGUAGUUAAUGCUUCAUAUCUGUCCAAAAAAAACAGAGCUCAGAAGGGUUUCAAGCUUUGAAGCCCAACUUUUACAUACAAAUCCUCUUUUUCUCCCUCUUCAUUUACACAAAUCCUCACCUCUAUCUCCCCUUCCUCCCUCUCCUCACCCUCCGGUUAAUACGUGUUACUUUAGAGAGGCUUUACAUCAACGCUAUCUAAGCAACCCACUGGGAAAUUUGAUGGACCAAAAUAGAUAUUUGUGAAUAUAGAACAAACCGGCUUGAGAGGUAGUUGAGAGAAAGCUCUGUUACCUUUCAUGUGUUAGUUCACAGGCCGUAAUUUAAGGGGGUGCAGAAAUUAAAAAGUUCUCAGUGUCUUGUGAGUAAUAAUAAACCCAAAUGUUUAUCUGGUGCAGAACUGCUGCUUUAAAGAGAAAAGCCAAACUUGUGUGUGCCCCAGUUACACAGUUCAAAAGAAUGUUUCAUUCAGAGUGAUCCCUCCUCCCCCUCUCAACAUCUGUGUGUGUGUGUGUGUGUGUGUGUGUGUGUGUGUGUGUGUGUGUGUGUGUGUGUGUGUGUGUGUGUGUGUGUGUGUGUGUGUGUGUGUGUGUGUGUGUGUGUGUGUGUGUGUGUGUGUGUGUGUGUGUGUGUGUAUUUAAGGUCUGAUGUUAAUAGGUCUCAUUAAGUACAACCUCCAAUCAGUAAAAAUAACAGUGUUUAGUUUUCACACACAUGCGCACACAUUCUUUCACAUGGUCAUUAUAUUUCAAGGCACGCGUGUGUGUGUGUGUGUGUGUGUGUGUGUGUGUGUGUGUGUGUGUGUGUGUGUGUGUGUGUGUGUGUGAGUGUGUGAUUACAUGGUGACGGGGUCUCUGAGGCCACUUAAGCCCCUCGGUCAUAGAGGGCCUCCCCCCACACACACACACACACACACACACACACUCAGAGUGAGGUCAUUGGAGAAAGAGUGACAGCUUCAGGAAAUGAAACACACCUCAGAUUACAGCUACGCGACGUUAGCUCACAUGUGAACCACGUGGCAGCGAGCGACUCGUCCCUCGGUGCAGACGUCCCCGCGUCCCUCGGUGCAGACGUCUCCGCGUCCCGUCGGCCGCUUUGAACCCAAACAGCCGAGCGCGAGAGCGUCGCCCGGAGACGCCCGGUGCUCUCCGGCCGGGUUGAACCGCGCAGUGUUUUCUGCACGUUCUUCCUGUUAGCGCCUGUGAGCCAACCGCUGCUGUCUGAACGUUUCCAACGGUUUAACUUCCUUUGAACCUCUUUAUGCAAUAACGAAUAAGAGAAUUCCCACCGUGAAAAGAUCUGGAUCGGAUGGAAUAAAAACAUGGCUGCGACUGGUUGUUGUGGCAUUCAACCAACGGCACACAUGUUGGGAAACGAUGAAACGGUUUCCACACGCUACAGAGCAGAAAAGACACCCGGAACCCCCGAGCCCCCCGUGAGGGCUCUCUCUGGGGUUAAUGGCCGAGUUGAACGCUGGCAGACGGGCAUCAGAUGCGCAGCGUACUUUCUGAAUGCAUGUGAAGUGUUUGGGGGAGAGACGGGGGUCUGGAGUCUGGGCUCACACCCAAUGUGUUUGUGGGCUUUUUUGUCCCUGAUAUGAACGCGCACAUUUGUAUUCCGGCGAGUGAGAGCUGGCUGACUUAAAAUCUCAUUAAUUUUGAUGAAAUGAGCUCUGGUAAUUGACUCUCUCUCUCUCUCUCUCUCUCUCUCUCUCUCUCUCAUCGACCUGAAUGCACCUUGAGAUCCCUCCCAUGCGUUUUCCCUUUAGCACGACUUGCAUGAGAAUAAUAAGAACAUUUGGGGUUUUGUUUAUUAAUGAUUGGCUCCUGAUCCAGCAGCAGAGCGGGAACAAGCAGCCAGGUGAUCUGUAUGUAAAACUGUGAUUUACCAAAACCUCUGAGACGUUUAAGCCCGUUGGAGUAAACAGAAACGUCUCCUGUGACAAAUCUCACUCCCUUUUUAGUUUUAUUCAACAUGUAAAUCACUGCAGCGAAGAAAGUUUAUCAGCGUAAAAGAAGAAACAACACGGUCGAUGAGCCACAGACGAGAGAGGGAGGGUAAGAGGGAGCGCGUGGAGGUGUGUGCGUGUGUUUGUGUGCGUGUGUUUGUGUGCGUGUGUGCAUGUGUUUGUGUGCGUGUGCGUGUGCGAGAAGAGGAUUAUCGACACGCAGCUAAUCUCUUUAUUCCACUUAAAUCUACAUUGCCUCAAAAAAAGCUUCCUAACACACUUAGAGGGACUACACACAGACACACACAGAGACACACUCACAGUCUGAAGAGUUGUCACUUAUUUUUGUAGUUUUUCUUCACCUCCGUGGUGAAGUUUCGGCCUCUUUUCCUCACUGAGUAAAGGGCGUUCUAACAAGACUCAUUCGUCUAAGUUCUAAUGGUUGUUAGCUAAUGCUAAUGUGCUAACCUGAGUGUGUCAUGUGA
ensembl:lncRNA